UUUCCAAAGGAAUAGCCCAGAGAAAUUUGGAUUAAUGCCUUAUAGCAUAUGGGUUCGGCAUCGUCCGCAUAUUAAAGAUUUAUCGGUGAAAGAUGAGCAUGCGUCCCAUUAGCUAGUUGGUAAGGUAACGGCUUACCAAGGCCAUGAUGGGUAGGGGUCCUGAGAGGGAGAUCCCCCACACUGGUACUGAGACACGGACCAGACUCCUACGGGAGGCAGCAGUGAGGAAUAUUGGACAAUGGGUGCAAGCCUGAUCCAGCCAUGCCGCGUGCAGGACGAAGCAUCUAUGGUGUGUAAACUGCUUUUAUACGGGAAGAAACCCUGGGACGUGU
rnacentral:rRNA from 1 species